GGUGGUUAAGCGCUUGGCUGCUAACCAGAAGGCUGGUGGUUCGAACCCACCAACUGCUC
rnacentral:tRNA from 1 species